rnacentral:rRNA from 1 species
GACGAACGCUGGCGGCGUGCUUAACACAUGCAAGUCGAACGGAAAGGCCUCUUUCGGGGGGUACUCGAGUGGCGAACGGGUGAGUAACACGUGAGUAACCUGCCCUUGACUUUGGGAUAACUUCAGGAAACUGGGGCUAAUACCGGAUAGGAGCUCCUGCUGCAUGGUGGGGGUUGGAAAGUUUCGGCGGUUGGGGAUGGACUCGCGGCUUAUCAGCUUGUUGGUGGGGUAGUGGCUUACCAAGGCUUUGACGGGUAGCCGGCCUGAGAGGGUGACCGGCCACAUUGGGACUGAGAUACGGCCCAGACUCCUACGGGAGGCAGCAGUGGGGAAUAUUGCACAAUGGGUGGAAGCCUGAUGCAGCAACGCCGUGUGCGGGAUGACGGCCUUCGGGUUGUAAACCGCUUUCGCUCAUGACGAAGCUUUGUGUGACGGUAGUGGGUAAAGAAGCACCGGCUAAAUACGU